GCUUUCAACAUCCCCGUUCUGGAGUUGAGAUUUUGCAGUGGCCGGGCACAAGUGUCCGACGUGCGAACUCCGGAGCUGAAAGC
rnacentral:sRNA from 12 species